AUGACGGUACCAUUUGUAAGCUCCGGCUAACUCCGUGCCAGCAGCCGCGGUAAUACGGGGGGAGCAAGCGUUGUUCGGAUUUACUGGGCGUAAAGGGCGCGUAGGCGGCCAGCACAAGUCAGUUGUGAAAUCUCCGGGCUUAACUCGGAAAGGUCAACUGAUACUGUGCGGCUAGAGUGCGGAAGGGGCAACUGGAAUUCUCGGUGUAGCGGUGAAAUGCGUAGAUAUCGAGAGGAACACCUGCGGCGAAGGCGGGUUGCUGGGCCGACACUGACGCUGAUGCGCGAAAGCCAGGGGAGCGAACGGGAUUAGAUACCCCGGUAGUCCUGGCCUUAAACGAUGGAUGCUUGGUGUCUGGGGUUUUAUAGUCCCCGGGUGCCGGAGCUAACGCGUUAAGCAUCCCGCCUGGGGAGUACGGUCGCAAGACUGAAACUCAAAGGAAUUGACGGGGACCCGCACAAGCGGUGGAGCAUGUGGUUCAAUUCGACGCAACGCGAAGAACCUUACCAGGGCUAGAAUGCCUCUGACAACCCCAGAGAUGGGGCCUCUUAGGGAAACCUAGGCAGAGUGCAAGG
rnacentral:rRNA from 1 species